rnacentral:ncRNA from 1 species
UACCUCGUCAUGGUGAAGGAACAGGAAACUGUCCUAAAUCAUUCCUUUGAAUGUUUUGCACACCUAAAGCGAGGUAUU